GAUGAACGCUGGCGGUAUGCCUAACACAUGCAAGUCGUACGAGAGUUUUUUAACUCUAGUGGCGGACGGGUGAGUAACACGUGAGAAUUUGCCUUUAGGAGGGGGACAACAAUUGGAAACGAAUGCUAAUACCCCAUAUGCUUUCGAGUGAAAUGGAUUUUAUCCGCCUAGAGAGAAGCUCGCGGCUGAUUAGCUUGUUGGUAAGGUAAGAGCUUACCAAGGCGACGAUCAGUAUCUGGUUUGAGAGGACGAUCAGACACACUGGAACUGAGACACGGUCCAGACUCCUACGGGAGGCAGCAGUGGGGAAUUUUCCGCAAUGGGCGAAAGCCUGACGGAGCAAUACCGCGUGAGUGAUGAAGGCCUUAGGGUUGUAAAGCUCUUUUACCAGGGAUGAUAAUGACAGUACCUGGAGAAUAAGCUCCGGCUAACUCCGUG
rnacentral:rRNA from 1 species